rnacentral:ncRNA from 1 species
UGCCACUUGGCAAAAAUUAAGCCGACCAAGAGGUAUGGGUUAGUAAGAUUGCCGAAAAUCCAUAAGGCUUAUAAGUAA